GAUGGACCUGCGGCGCAUUAGCUAGUUGGUGAGGUAGAGGCUCACCAAGGCGACGAUGCGUAGCCGACCUGAGAGGGUGAACGGCCACACUGGGACUGAGACACGGCCCAGACUCCUACGGGAGGCAGCAGUAGGGAAUCUUCGGCAAUGGACGAAAGUCUGACCGAGCAACGCCGCGUGAGUGAUGAAGGUUUUCGGAUCGUAAAACUCUGUUGCCAGGGAAGAAUGGCUAGGCGAGUAACUGCGCUUAGUUUGACGGUACCUGAGAAGAAAGCCCCGGCUAACUACGUGCCAGCAGCCGCGGUAAUACGUAGGGGGCAAGCGUUGUCCGGAAUUAUUGGGCGUAAAGCGCGCGCAGGCGGUCAUUUAAGUCUGGUGUAUAAACCAAGGGCUCAACCUUUGGACGCAUUGGAAACUGGGUGACUGGAGUGUAGGAGAGGAAAGUGGAAUUCCACGUGUAGCGGUGAAAUGCGUAGAGAUGUGGAGG
rnacentral:rRNA from 1 species